rnacentral:rRNA from 1 species
AAUGAACGUUGGCGGCGUGGAUUAGGCAUGCAAGUCGAGCGAGAAGCUUAAGAAAGAUACUUCGGUUGAUUUCUUAAGUGGACAGCGGCGAAAGGGAGAGUAACGAGUAGAUACGUACCCAGGGGUUCGGGAUAGCUGCGGGAAACUGCAGGUAAUACCGAAUAAUGUCUCCGGACCAAAAAUUUAUUGCCCUUGGAUCGGUCUGCUUACUAUUAGCUUGUUGGUGGGUAAUGGCCUACCAAGGCAAAGAUGGUUAGCGGGUGUGAGAGCAUGGCCCGUCUCACUGGGACUGAGACACUGCCCAGACACCUACGGGUGGCUGCAGUCGAGAAUCUUCCGCAAUGGACGAAAGUCUGACGGAGCGACGCCGCGUGCGGGAUGAAGGCCUUCGGGUUGUAAACCGCUGUCAGAGGGGAGCAAAUUUUGAGCAAUCCUCAGAGGAAGCACAGGCUAAGUUCGUG